rnacentral:rRNA from 1 species
CACGUAGGGCGCAAGCGUUGUCCGGAAUUAUUGGGCGUAAAGAGCUCGUAGGCGGUCUGUUGCGUCCGCUGUGAAAACUCGGGGCUUAACCCCGAGCCUGCAGUGGAUACGGGCAGACUAGAGGUAGGUAGGGGAGAAUGGAAUUCCCGGUGUAGCGGUGAAAUGCGCAGAUAUCAGGAGGAACACCAAUAGCGAAGGCAGCUCGCUGGGACGUUACUGACACUAAGGCGCGAAAACGUGGGGAGCGAACAGG